rnacentral:rRNA from 1 species
GCUGCCAGUUGCAACGGGUGAAGCCGGGCACUCUGGCGGGACUGCCAUCGACAAGAUGGAGGAAGGUGGGGAGUGACGUCAAGUCAUCAUGGCCCUUAUGUCCAGGGCGACACACGUGCUACAAUGGCCGGCACAGCGGGAAGCGAGGCAGUGAUGCCAAGCGGAUCCCUUAAAGCCGGUCUCAGUUCGGAUUGAAGUCUGCAACUCGACUUCAUGAAGCUGGAAUCGCUAGUAAUCGCAGAUCAGCCAAGCUGCGGUGAAUACGUUCCCGGGCCUU